rnacentral:rRNA from 1 species
GACGAACGCUGGCGGCGUGCUUAACACAUGCAAGUCGAACGGGAUUUAGUAAACAGAAACCUCGGUGGAAGAUUACUAAUGAGAGUGGCGAACGGGUGAGUAACGCGUGAGCAACCUGCCUAUGACAGUGGGAUAGCCUCGGGAAACCGGGAUUAAUACCGCAUAAAAUCGUAGAAACACAUGUUUUAACGGUCAAAGAUUUAUCGGUCAUAGAUGGGCUCGCGUCUGAUUAGCUAGUUGGUGAGAUAACAGCUCACCAAGGCGACGAUCAGUAGCCGGUCUGAGAGGAUGAACGGCCACAUUGGAACUGAGACACGGUCCAAACUCCUACGGGAGGCAGCAGUGGGGAAUAUUGCACAAUGGGGGAAACCCUGAUGCAGCGACGCCGCGUGAACGAAGAAGGUAUUCGUAUCGUAAAGUUCUGUCCUAUGGGAAGAUAAUGACAGUACCAUAGAAGAAAGCUCCGGCUAAAUACGUG